rnacentral:rRNA from 1 species
AACGCGAAGAACCUUACCUGGGCUCGAAAUGCUGUGGACCAGCUUAUGAAAGUAGGCCUUCCCGCAAGGGACCGCAGUAUAGGUGCUGCAUGGCUGUCGUCAGCUCGUGUCGUGAGAUGUUGGGUUAAGUCCCGCAACGAGCGCAACCCUUGUCCUGUGUUGCCAUACCGAAAGGUGGAACUCGCAGGAGACCGCCAGGGAUAACCUGGAGGAAGGUGGGGAUGACGUCAAGUCCUCAUGGCCUUUAUGUCCAGGGCUACACACGUGCUACAAUGGACGGUGACAAUGGGAUGCAAUGGGGAGACCCUGCGCAAAUCUCAAAAAGCCGUCUCAGUUCGGAUUGUGCUCUGCAACUCGAGCACAUGAAGUUGGAAUCGCUAGUAAUCGCAGAUCAGCACGCUGCGGUGAAUACGUUCCCGGGCCUUGUACACACCGCAUAC